AGCCUUGUAGUACAGCGGUCAAGUAUACAGGCCUCUGGAGUCUGUGACCCAGGUUCGAAUCCUGGCAAGGCUA
rnacentral:tRNA from 1 species